ensembl:snRNA U6 U6 spliceosomal RNA
CUCACCUUGGAAAUAGAUAUAAUAAAAUUGGAAUGGUACAGAGAAGAUUAAUAUAUCCUCUGUGCCAACGCACACAUAAAUUUGCAACACAUUGCAUAUUUUU